CGGAGAGAACCAGGCGAUCGCUGCCCGUCGCCGCUGGCGGCGGGGGGAGGAAAGUCCGGGCUCCACAGGGCAGGAUGGUCCUUAACGGGGACCGGGGGCAACCCCAGGGAAAGUGCCACAGAGAGCAGACCGCCCGUCAGUGCUUCGGCGCAGACGGGUAAGGGUGAAAGGGUGAGGUAAGAGCUCACCAGUGCCGGCGGUGACGUCGGCAGCUCGGUAAACCCCAUCCGGAGCAAGACCGAAUAGGGGAGUGUUCGAGGGCGGCCCGUCCGAGACUCCCGGGUUGGUUGCUUGAGACCGCCGGCAACGGCGGUCCUAGAGGAAUGAUCGCCACCCCGCCGAGGGCAACCGGAGCGGGGGACAGAACCCGGCUUACCGGUCUCUCCGGCCA
rnacentral:RNase_P_RNA from 1 species